rnacentral:lncRNA from 1 species
AUAAAAAUGAAAUUUAAAGAAAUAACCUUUCUCUUAGACGUAAACAUGGUUGUAUCAGAUAUACGUAUAAUACUGAGGAUGUCUCCAAGAACUCAGAAUAAUAAAAAAAGAUGGGAAAUGGAAAAGAAAAUACAUAAAUCCAUCCGGGAGGAAUAACCACAAAGAAAGAGUGGAGAAAAUGGGCAUGAGGAAUUCCUUCCAGAGCUAAUGCUGGAACAUUUGCCAUAACUGAGGCCCGAGCUCCCGGAUCCAGAGUCCCUGCCGAGUGCCCUGUGACAGCAACAAUGACUUUAUUAUGACUACUGGGACAUUUGGGCACCAGGACACAAAGAUCCCACAAGCUCCAGGAGAGCAGAGUCGAUGGCACACGAGGUGCGGAGGGUGGUCACACGGGCUCCGGUCCAGACCAUCCGUCCUGGUUUUUCAAUUCUCCUGUGCAUCUCCCUGGCUUGGGCGGCUCCUUGUGACUGUGCCCGAGGCCUCUGUCACAGGCCUGCCAUCACCUGAGAUGGGACAGCCCCCCCUUGAGGAAAGCUGGGGUUAUAAGGAGGCUCGCUCCUGAUUAUUUUCACCUGGAUCAAGUGCCUAAAAUCAGGGGUUCAGGAAUGAGAAGACGCUGGUUUGAAGGUGGAAAAUUCGUCAGUUAGCUUCAAGUCCUAAUCAGCCUCAGAGAUCUUGGUUUAGGAAAACCCCGCACUGAUUUGCUGUCUCCACCACUCUCCCGGGCUCUCGGGAGCCCCCUUGGACUGUCAGGUGUGUGGGGACAUCCGAAGGACACUGAGGGGCUCUCAAAUGGAGUCAGAUUGCCAUUCAGACCACUGGCAUGGAUCUGCUGGGCAGAACGAUUCAGUCGCAUGUCAGAUGCACAUGCGAGGAGGAGCCCACGCCUGUGCACGACCGAGCGGUCAGCGCUGGAGCAGGCCCUCUGCCGUGAGGCCGGCACACAGGGCCCUGGCUUGCAGACCACUGCAUCCUGGUGGCCGCCUCUUCAGUGAGUCACAGGACACUCCCUGAUCCCAUACCUCAGUUUCCCCCCUGUAAAUAUGAGGGCAGACUUUUAAGCUGACAGAAAAUACAAAGUAUCACAGGACGGGAGGAAGUGUGGCUUGUGACCCAGCAGACUCAUGGCCUGUGACUCUUCCUGACUAAGUCGCUACGGCUUCCGCAGUGCGAACCUGGGACCUCCAAUCUGGCGUGGUUGCUUUUGAUUUUUUGUCUGUAAUUUUCCAGGGAGAUUUGUAUCCAUUAAACUCACUGGGAGCAAGGACAGUCACUCACGUACAGC